GGAGUUGUAGCUUGGUGGUAGAGCACUUACCUAGCAUGUACAAGACCCUGGGUUCAAUUCCCAGCACCA
rnacentral:tRNA from 1 species